AUAAAGCGCCGCAUGACGGCUCGACCGCUACCAAGCAAUAUAUGUAUAAACUAUUCAUGCUCUGCAAUUUUUAAAAAGGAAUGAGCAGCCUGUUAGCCUGUUUUAGCACAUUCCGUUGAAUUCCGAGCUGAACUGGUCUGUAUAUUCGUUAAUUCGAAAUUAUUACCAUUUGGUGCCUGAUAAUUUGGUAUUUCAUUUGACAUCAAAUAAUUGUGCAGAUAACAACAUGCUGCUGUUACCUUUGAAGCUAUCUCUGUUUGGAAAUGAGUUCGGCAAAGUAGAAAACCACGUUGUCCCAAAUAAGUCGAGUAAGUGUCUUCCACUUGUUUAUUGCUUCACGUUCUUGAAUAUUCUACCCCAAGAUCACCAGAUACUCCUUAUAUACAUACAUACAGAAGUAUAUGAGCACAAUACGUACAUAUGUGUUCUACUCCUAAGUACAUCAGCUAUAAAAACGUCUCGCUAGAGCGCGAACAAUAAUAAUACGCAUAAUAUGUAUGAUAAGCGAUGACAUUGAAAAAUGAACUCAUGUUGGUUGUAUUGGUGCAUCCAGCGGGUGUUGAUGAGCAGAUCUGAAUGUAAGUAUGUUCCUGUACUAACGAUGCCCAACGUUGCAUUUGACCAAUACCUUACUGUAACUCUUGAACAUCCUACCGGGCUGAACCCAUGCGGUUCAGUAAUUCUUUAGAUGGGCCUGUUAAUCGGCAUAAUUUCUGUACCGGCCGCUGACAUCGGUGUUUGGUAAAAAGUCCGUUCCAGGUUUUCUGGUUAGAAUUGUAUUCGAUGGUGACUACGCGAACCAAACCAUCACUGCCCGGAUGCACGUCGAUGACCCUUCCUAUGCGCCAAAAUGUUGGGGGGAGAUUCUUAUUCCGGAUGAGGACGACGUCGUCGCGCUGAAUGUUUGGCUCCGGUCUCGUCCAGACUGCAGGGUAUUUAGGUAUUCGCUUUGCCAGCGACGCCAAAAGUAUUCCAGCAUUCGGUGACGAAGUUGCCAAUAAUGCAAACGAUUCUCUGGAACUUCUGGUAAUAAAGGUUCCGGACGACAAUUCAACGGGCGGCCAAUAAUAAAAUCAUCGUAUAAAGCCAGCAAUGACCGUCAUUUGAGGCAGGCUGCUAUACGCGUCAAAAGAGUGUUAAGCUCGGGGAAGCGCAUUGUUUGACGACGACCCAUGACUCGCUGCUUCCCAAAGGCCACCGUGAUGAGGUGAGGAUGGUGUAAUAAACUUCCAGUGGGUUCCUACAGCCACCAAGUGUUGUUGUGCUUACACGUUCACCCAUGCCUGUAAAUCCUCCUGCAUUUGUCGAUUCGCACCAAUAAACUGAGUACCAUUAUCGCUGCAUAAGGUAGCGCAGAUGCCUCAUCGACUCACGAAGCGGUCGUACACGUUUGUAAAUGCUUGUGUACUCAAGUCCUCUGCCAGCUCAAUAUGAACUGCACGCGAUGCCAUACAAACGAAAAUGGCUGCAUAGGUUUUUGUCGUAACUGCUGAGCGCUUGCUGCCAACUCGAACUUGGAAGGGUCACAGUAAUCCAAGCCACUGCGGUAAAAUGGUGGUGCCACAAGGACACGCUUCUUUGGUAACGACGCCAUCUGUUGCCGCUGCGUAAUUUGCAGAUGUCUUCGACAUGCGGUGCACCUCCAGAUGUCAGAUUUUACCUGGGCCCGCGCACAUAUGAGCCAAAAGCGUUGUCGGAGAAACUGGAGCAUCUGCUGUAUGCCACCAUGAAAGCAGCGCUUAUGUGCAUCUGCGACCAUUAAAUCUGCUAGAGUGCCGCGUGGGACUAUGAUUUGGUGUCGCCGAUCGUUACUCAUGUCAGCGUUGGUUAGUCGGCCCCCUACUCUCAAUAUUCCAUUUUCAUUCAGAAACGGAUUUAGAGGUAGAAGUGGACUGCGACCCUCAAUUCUGGAAUUAGUACAAGUGCUUUAAUUUCCUGUUUGAAAGUAUUACCUUGUGCCUGACGAAUGUGUAGGACCAGCGCCCAGUUCGUACGUACAAAAUUUGCUGGAAUCGGAAAGGUAAAGCUAUAUGAAAUCUGAAUAGUUUAAAUUGAGACAAUAAAUAGAUUAGAGUGAAUAUUUAUUCGUUAGUCGUGCAGUUCUUCCUCCCUCAGUUUUCGCUCCGAACGUUAGCAUUUCUUCCCCUAUUACUACCAAACCCAUGCAACUAACAAGAUCACGCAAUCGGAAAAGAAUGAAAAACGUAAAUUUCUGAGCGUUUUUCGCAUCUGCCUAAAAAUGAAAACAAACAAAGAAAACGAAAAAGGCGCAGUGAUUGAGUGCCAUUAUAUUGGUAUUUAUUAUAAAAUAUAAAAAGUGAAACUUGAUAAACAUUAGCAAAAAAAAGUUCAUAAAAUAUGGUUUUAAUGAUUGAGAGUGUUUUACAACCGCAUAUUAUCGGCACCGGUCGAUUUUUCAAUGCCAACGUUCUGACCACAACUGUGCACCCACUUUUCACGCAAAUUUACGCCUCUUGACAAAUCAAACAGAUGCACAAACUUGUUCCACUCACAAAGCACUUCAUAUUAUAUCAUAAAUUUGUAAUAAAUCAAAAUUUAUAAUUAAACUCGCUGCGGAAAACACAUAAAAUCGCUAAAAUAUCACUACGAAGAGCUAGGAGACGAUGUAAACAGAACCAAAAAAUAUCAAAAACGCUACGAAAACUUUUUUCUGAAAAUCGAUUACAAAUACAACGA